GGGGGGGGGGGGGGGGGGGGGGGGGGGGGGGGGGGGGGGGGGGGGGGGGGUUGGAUUUUUGUAUUUUUUUCAAACUUCAGUAGAAGGAAAUUCCUUCCCCCCCCCAGAACCCCCAAAAAAGAGGAAACCCCCAAAAAAGGGGGUGAGGAGCACUGAGCUGCCCCAUUUUGGGGAAGAAAGAGCAGAUUUGGGGCAGAUUUGGGCAAUAUCCUGAAUUUGGGGUGUUGGUGUCACCCUCAGGGUGCCCUAAAUGACCUCCAAAAACGGGGGAGACCCCAAAAAAUGGGGCGAGCCCAGAAUAGGGGGGGACACGUUGGGCUGUUCUAUUUUGGGAACAAAAAGUGCUGAUUCAGUGCAAAUUUGGGUUGAUUUGGGGCAGAUUUUGGGAUGAACUGGGACUGAACUGAUGCUGAUUUGGGGCUGAGUUGGAGUAGAUUUGGGUCAGAUUUUGGGGUGAUUUGGGACUGAAUUGGGGCUGAUUUGGGGCAGAUUCAGAGCUGAACUUGGGUGGGUUUGGGGCUGAAUUGAUGCAGAUUUGGGGCUGAAAUUGGGACCCCAAAAAGAAGGAGAGGGACAUGUUGUGCCAUUUCAUUUUGGGGACAAAAGGGGCAGAUUUGGGGCUGAUUAAGAACUGAAUUGAUGCAGAUUUGGGACCCCAAAAAAAGAGUGGGGACCUCAAAAGGAGAGCAGGGAGGACACAUUGUGCCAGUUCAUUUUGGGGACAAAAAGGGCAGAUUUGGGGCUGAUUUAGAGCUGAAUUGAUGCAGAUUUGGGACCCCAAAAACGAAAGAGGGGGACACAUUGUGCCACUUCAUUCUGGGGACAGAAAGGGCAGAUUUGGGGCAGAUUUAGAGCUGAAUUGAUGCAGAUUUGGGGCAGAUUUGGGACCCCAAAAACGAAAGAGGGGGACACAUUGUGCCACUUCAUUCUGGGGACAGAAAGGGCAGAUUUGGGGCUGAUUAAGAGCUGAAUUGACGCAGAUUUGGGACCCCAAGAAGAGCAGGGUGACACCUUGUGCCAGUUCAUUCUGGGGACACAAAAGCCAAUCCGCUGCCAAUUCUGAGGGGAUUUGGGGCGGAUUUGGGGCAGGCUGGGCCCCAG
rnacentral:lncRNA from 12 species